CUUGAUCGACCCCAGCCACAACGGCCGCUCACGAUCCUGCCCAUACGUCGCCAACAACGCCUGAGCCUC
rnacentral:antisense_RNA from 1 species